rnacentral:ribozyme from 2 species
CAACAGCGAAGCGGAACGGCGAAACACACCUUGUGUGGUAUAUUACCCGUUG